GUCCGCGUAGCUCAGCCGGAUAGAGCACAGGAUUCCUGGUUUGCAAUUGGGCGUCACGACGGGAAACCACGUGGCGGAUCUGCUCAAAUUCGGGGAACGCUCUGGCGAAUGCCGUGCCAAUCCCGAGCCAAGGCCGGUUUUUCCGGCAAGGUGUAGAGACUGGAUGGGCAGCACCUGUCAACCGCUUGCGGUUUAUGGUGAAGGGACAGUCCAGACCACGAACGCCAUAUCCCUAUGGCGGCGGUGAAAGCCGAAGUGGUACGAAUCCUGGGGCCGUGGGUUCGAAUCCCGCCGCGGACACCA
rnacentral:tRNA from 1 species